GACUGGCUACACUGGCAAAUCGUUUUACACCUACCGUUUUGAGCCUGUGUGGAAGAAACUCGUUCUUCUCCCUGGAAUCGCGUGCAGUGCAAUGAAAAGAAGCUGUAUAUGCUGUAUGCGCGGGUGCCACUGUGUUGGUGCUAGCUUGCUUGCGUGCUGUUUUGUUCAAUCCGCUCACCACAUCAUCCCAGUAGUGUGUUGUUGAUUCUGUGUAGUGUAGUGGCACAUCGCGUAGCAGGACACCGUUCGUUCGUACGCGUAUCUCUCGGGGGAUGUAAGUCGAGUGAAAAAGUGGACCUUCGAGAUACAGUUGUAGUCGUACUCGCGGAGCAAAACGUUCGACUCCAAAACAACGUCUGCAAGUUUUACGUGUUUUAUCGACAUUUUUGAUGAUAUUUUAAGCGAACAAAUGCAGCAUUGGAAAAAUCAAGACCAAUUCCGUUCAUUACCCGAUCUCAUUGAGUGUAAAUAAUAAUCGUAUCCCCUCGGUAGAUAUAUCUUACCGGAAAAUACUUCGCAGACGACACAAAUAUCCACGGAAAGUAUUUUCUACGCAUCUUUUAGUGAAUAAUUAAUGUUAUUAUCAUUAGUGCCAGCCCAUAAGUGAGUGUUGAUAGUGAUUGGAAGAACUGGCAGAAAGCUUUACAAGUGAGUCCUUCAUAGAAGAGAUAAAAAAAAGGUUGCCAGUGAGUGAUUGUGCCUGGAUGUGUAUGAAAUAAUCCAGUGAAUCGAAAUCUUAAGAACUGCCUCGGCAGAUUAUAGUUCGCGACACUUUUACGGUCGCAAGUUUUCUGUUUAGUGAUCAAAAAUUGAGCAAAGCAUAGGCAAGGUUCGAUACAAAAUUCUAAAAAAGAGGAAGAAAAGGAACUCUUCCAGUCAUCAUCACCACCACCACCACCACCACCAUCACCAUCGUCAUCAUCCGACGUCAGCGGCGGCGACGACGACGACGGCGACGGCAAAUACUAGCGGCAGUAGUGACCAACAGCAACAGGAAGAUUCGCCGCAACCCUCGACUAGCGGCGGAACACCCACUACUAGCGGCGGCCUCAGCAGACGCAACAUGACAACCGAUACGAGACGACGAGUUAAAUUGUAUGCACUGAACGCAGACCGACAGUGGGACGAUCGGGGCACCGGUCACGUCACAUCAAACUACGUCGACCGAGUAAAAGGUAAGGAUUGUUUGUGUUUAUCUAUGCAGGUGUGUCGGUUGUGGGAUUCUGCGUUCUAAUUGGUGAUAAUUCAUUGGUGAUUAAAAUUCCAAUUUCUGUGAUUAUUGAUUAAGAUUAACGAUUAAUUUGAUUUUGAGAAUGAAUAAUGAUUAUGAUUAUUGAUUAAAUUUGGUUUUAUCAUCUGUGACAAGUGGUUAUGAUUAUUGAUUAAAAUGGCUCAUUGAUUAAUAAUCAUGAUUAAUCAUGAUUAAUCAAUCACAAAAUCUGGGAAUGAUUAAUUAUAACCUAGAUCUGAUCUUUGAUUUUUGAAAAAUAAAAAGGAAUCAUGAAUUAUUAUAUCACUCAGGGUGUCUACUACCUGGAAAAACCUGGAAAACCGGGAAUCCUCAGGGAAUUUUAUUUAACAGGGAAAAACCUGGAAUAAUCACGGAAUAUCUUGAGUACUCAGGGAAAUUUUACUUCGAUAAAAAAAAACAUUGGGUCGUAUGAAUAAAUAAAAACCUGGUAGUAAUCCAUAUAGAAAUUUCGCUACAAGGAUUUUUUCCAAAAAUUCCAUCAGGGUUUCUUUCAGGAACAUCUUUAGAAUUACCUCCUGAAAUGUCUCUCAGGAUUUCUUAUAAAAUUCCUUCCCCAUGGCAUUUUUGACGCUAUUUUUCUUGGUAUUCCAUUUUGAUUUUUUUUUCCGGAUUCCUGAAUUGCUAGUGUAGAAUUAGCAUAAGUUAAAAUACACAAAAAUAAAAACAAAAAAAAGAUUCCUGAAUUCCAACCGAUUUCUCCUGGAAAUUUUCACGGGGAUGCUAUUUCUUUCCGGAGUUGCUCCAGUAUUUUGCUCAAAGAAAUCUUCGUAGGAUUUUUACCAGAAUUUAUCCCGAAUACUCUAUAAGAAUUUCUGUCGGGAUAAAUCGUGGAAUUUCUUUCGGCAUUCCUCAUGAAAAUUUUACACGAUUUCUUCCGGUGUUCCUCUUGGGACUUCCACAGAAGAUCUUCCCAGAAUUUCUUUCGGAGUUGCUAAAGGUGUUAUUCCUGCAGGGGGUUUCUACUAAAGUUCAUCCAAGGGUUUCUGAAGGAGUUUUCACGAAUUUACUGCAAGAGUUCCUCAAGAGAUUUCAACAAUUGUUUUGGGCUUUCUUCGAGAUGUUCUUCCUGGAAUACAGGAAGAACACACAGGAAUUUCUUUAAAAAAUUCGCGAGGUUUAUUUUGAUGUUUUACCUGAGAUUUUUCUCGGAGUAUCUCCUGGAACUUCUCUCAGAAGAUUCCUUCCGAUGUAGGUCAUGAGAUGCUUCUCAGAGUUUAUCUGAAUUUACCCUGGACUUUCUCCUAAGAUAUUUUUUCUAGAGUGGCUUCUGGGAUUUCCACAGGAGUUAUUGCUGAUAUUUCUCAUUGAAUUCAUCUUUUGCAUUCUUUAAGAGCCAGGCUGUUCUUUGUAGUUGUACCAGAUUUCUGGCAGUGAUCCACCUGAGAUUUUUUUACAGAUAUCCUCUGCAUUAUUCCCAUAUUUCUUCCAGUAAUCUUUACCAGAAAUUAUCCGGAGAUUCUGGAUACUCCUUUAGGGAUUUCUCCGAAAAUUAUUGCAGGGAUUCUUCUACGGGUUUUCCUCAGAAUGUCUCCUGAGAUAACUUACGGAAUACCUUUUAUAGGAAGUUCCUGGAGAAAUAUUCGAGGGAAUUUAAAUAAAAUCUUGCGAAAAACUCCGCAAAGUGUUAUUGAAGAAAUUUCGAUAAGAACUUCAGGAGAAACCGGAGAUAAAAUGAGACAUCUCGAAAAAAGUUCUAGGUAAUUCCGAGAAGAAAUAUUAAGCACAUCCAAGGAGGAAUUCUGAAUACCUCAUGGAAUCCUGAAAGUAGCUACGGACUAAGUUCCGCGAGAAAACAAGAGAAAUAUCUGAAAACUGUCGGUAAAAAUCCCGAUAUAAACUUUCGGAUAGCUAUCCCGGAAAAUCACUAAAAAGACAUGGACACUGGCUUCAACCGUCGGCUGUACCGAUUGAACGAGACUUAACACGGAGUGGCUAUGGAUAAGAAGCUAUUCUCGUGAAAAAUUUCAUCGCUCGGAGUGGGAAUCGAACCCUCAUCCAUCCGGACUCUAAUCGCAUGCCUACGAGGCUCAACCAAUGACAUUCUUGAAGAAAUUUUGAAUAGUUUUGGAUGGAUCUUCAGGAGGUAUCCAGCGAGAAUCUCAGGAAGUAUAUCAGAAAACUUUUGAAAGUUAUAUCGGGACGUACUCAAACAGAUAUCUAGUGAAAGAAUCUUGCGGCAAGCCAGGAAGUUACUUUGUAAGAAGUUCCAGGAAUUACGCUCAAAAAUCUUGAAAGAUUUUUAAAGAGCAGGGGAACUUACGUAUUUUCGGCAGUUUUGUUCUCUUUGUCAUGGGUUUUUUUACACCUAGGUUUCAGCUGUUGAAUUCAGAGUUGGCAUCAAAUCCUUCCCAACCAAGCUGAAUAUGAUCAAGUUUCAGGCAAUUUGGCCGACAUAAAUGCCUCAUGACGAAGAGAAACAACCUGCCGAUGAUACCUCAAGUCACCCUUUACAUUAUUUUUAGAAAAUUUGGGUUAUUUUUUGAAUUUUAAUCUUUUAAAAUUUCAUCUGGAAAAACCUGGAAAACUCAGGGAAUUUCAUUUUGAGUUAUGAGUAGACACCCUGUACUGGAAAAGAGAUGAACCAGCCUAGGGCUGAAAAUCUCUAUAAUAAAGAAAUAAUAAAUAAUCACUGGAACCUCUCUCAAUGCCAUUGGCUGGGGGUGCAUAAAUUGAACUGGCAGGAAUAAGAGGAAAAUUUGUACAUUAAUUAAGUCAUUCAUGCUGGGCAUUUGAGAGUAGGUCAAAGGGAUUUCCAGGAAGUUCCCAGAAAGCCCAAUGAAAGGGUAUUUCUGGAGCAUUUUAAGGGCGUUUUUUCAGUUUUCGUUUUCGCUUUCAUAUGAUUACGAGAGUUUCACGGCCGUUUCAAUAGUAUAAAAGGGGUUUCAGGGGCAUUCCAGAGGCAUUUCAGGGAGUAUUAUGGGCGUUCCAAGGGAAUUUUUUUUUUUAAAUAUUGACUAUCAUGAUUUCAGGUAGGUUAAUAUCAGGAGGGUUUGAGGAUCAUUAUGGAGUUUCAGGGGAUUUCAAAGGCAUUUCAAUGAGAUUAUGGAGGUUUUUAGGGCGUUUCAAGGCUUUUCCGGGGCGUUUCAAGUUUUUCGAAAAUCUUCUGAAACUUCUUGAAACGCCUCUGAAAUCCCCUAAGAACCCCCCCCCCCCCAUCUCAUGUAAUUUACUAGAGACCCUGCGAAAGCACCGAAAACGCAUAUGUCUUAAUCCCGCUCUAAAUCCUACUAGAAAUCAUCUGAAGCUUCCUAAAUGACUCCGAAAUCCCCUCACUGAGGAUACUGUUCGUAUGUUUUUCAUAGUUUACAUCUUAUGAAUCAGUUAUUUUUAUUUUUUUCAUCAUUUCAUAGUUCUCGUAUGCUUUUCAUACAUUGAAAAGCGAAAUCCACAAGACUUGUCGCAUGAAAAAUCUCAUAAGAAACAUCGUAUGAAAAUCAUAAGAUGUGUUAUAAAACACCAUUGCUAAAAAACAACAAAACCUUUUAUUUGCUUCUAACCACUUCAACUUCCGAAGCAUCAAUAGGCGAAUGAGUAAAGCAUGUACUCGCCAACCUUAACGUUCCUGGUUCGAUUCCAGGUUGCGAUUUUUUUUUAAUUUAUGCAAAAUAUUUCAUAAAAAUGUGUAUGAUAGUCAUAAGACAGUUUCAAUUUUUAUACGUUGUGUGACUUAGGGGCAAUUUCUUCACCCUGGCUUAAGCGUUAAGCCAGGUUUAACUGUAUGGGUAAGCCUGGCUUACCGGUUAAGCCGAGGUGAAGAAAUCGGCCCUUAGUUUCAAUUUUCAUACGUGAGUGUUAUGAAAUUUAUUCAGUAACACUAUGACAAUAAUAGUUAGCGCUUUGAAUCCAAAAUCAUAGUUCGUAACUAUGAUUUUCGCAAGAAAUUCUUGUGGUAAAAAUCAUAGUUGGUUCGUAUGAUUUUCGGAGUUGCAGUAUUCUCAGUGCUCGGAUUCGCACCUGGUAUCAGCUGUCGACUCCAGAGGCACGUUCUCCUCUAUUUGGGAAAUUUGUGCCAUCAACGCACCUAAGACCCUCUUAAAGCAUUGAAAUCGACCAUGUAACGCCUCUCUUCCAAAAAUCCUCUGAAGCUUCCUGAAAUGCCUCCGAAAUUGUGUAACGCACCUGAUACCCUCCGAAAUCAUCGAAAGAACCUCCGUAACGCCUCCUAAAUCCGUCAAAGUUCCUCUGAAACUUCCUAAAGUGCUCCCGAAAACGCCUGACGCCGCCCUGACCUCCAGGUACACCCUGAAACUCCUUCGAAUCCCCUGAAAUAGAGGCGUGACCUCUUAAAUGCACCUAAGACCCCCUGAAUCGCCCCAGAUACCCCCAGAAUCAUCCAUGAUAGCCCCUAGAACCUCUCUCAAAUGCUCCUGAGACCUCAAGCCCCAUGAAUGCAUUAAAACGCCCCAUGAGACCCCCUGGAACCUAUAGAGACCCCCUUGAACGCCCCUUAAACCUCUUGGUACACCCUUGAUAUGCCCGCUAUAACUCCCCUAGAAUUCUUUUAGCUCCCCUGGAAUUCCCUUAAGACUCCCUAAAACGCCCCUGAGACUCCCUAAAACACUCCUUAAAACUCCUAGAAUCCCUAAAGCUCCCUGAGAGGACCAUGAAAGCCCCUUAAAUGCUCUUGAGAUCUACUCCCAAGCAAAACACAUGUCAUAUAAGAGUUACGGCAGCUCCAGUUUUAGUUUGAAGUAAUUCUAGCAUUGUGUUAGAAUUACGUUAACUAAAAUUCUAUAGAACCAAAACUUACGCUGCCGUAACUCUUAUAUGACAUACGUGUUGCUUGUUAGUGGCACCUCCUUGAAACACCCCUGCAACAUCCUGGUACCCCGCUGAACCCCCUUUUUGACCCGCUGCAACCUUCCUCGUCCCUAUAAACGUCCCCUAGCCGCCAUUGUCAUAGUUACCGUCAUUUUAACAUUUUCUUUGGCAUAAUAUUUGUUCUGAGUAGCUCAUGCAUAAAAAUAACCUGCAUAAAAAGAGGGUCUACACGAUUCAACACAGCAUUAAAAAUAAUUCAAAUUGCAUCAUAUAUUUUAUAUGGUGAAUCUAUUUCUAUGAUGAAUGAUUAAUCAUUGUUUUUUUUUUCUUAUGAUUAUGAUUACUGAUUAAUGAUUAAAUUGCGAAAGUAGUGUGAUUAAGAUUAAUAAUUAUUGAUUAAACGAUAUUUUUUGUGAUUAUGAUUAAUGAUUUUUGAUUAAUCUAAUCAUUAAUCAUUAAUUAUUAUUAAAUUUAUGAUUAAUCAUUAACGCUCUGCAUGUGCAAUCACAACUGAUGUAUCUGUUGAAUACCUCAACGGAAAAUAUUCUUUCAGCUGUUAGUAUACAUGGUCAAUCAAUCAAUCAAUCAAUCAAUGGACUCGAUCGAAUUUGUAUUAGUGUCAAACUGAUGUUGUUUCUUUAGUUCUUUUCUUGUCAAAUAUUUGACCCUGUGUACUUCAGGCCUAUGUACGGUUUACUUACUACAUGACAAACAGCCCGUACGAAUGCUUUCAAAAAAUCAUCGCAAUCUGCAUUUGAAAAGGCCUUCGGGAUGAAUCUUACCUCGCAAACCUUACGUUCUACACAGAAAAAACUGUUGUGUAAUAUUACAUCUGAACUGCUGCAACCCGAUCAAUCCGUCGGUUGCAUGAAUAUUACACAGGACGAUGUACACAUAGGAACAAAAAAUUUUACAUCAAAACGAUACGAUACAUAUGUAAUCGCACAUAGGAAUCGUGAUUACAUUGAUUAUUUAGUACAUCGGAAUGAGUUACAUCGGACGGGUUGCAUUUGUUUUUUGCUGUGUAGUCAACAAACUGAAAUCUCUUUAGUGAUUUGAUUGCGAUCAGAAAAUUGUCCUUCAUCAUAGAAGCUUUUGCAGAAGCUUGCCCUUUGAUACCUGUGAAGAACACAAAAGCAAUCCAUUGCACAGUGGGAAAAAACCGACCCAAAAAGGCACCUAAUUAUUGCGGCUGAUUGCGAUCUUUGAAGCCCAUCUUUUCCGAAUGGAAAAAUGCCAAGGAAUCGAUUGGUGAUAGUUUCAUUCACCGGAAUUGAGUGUAAGUGUCCAUUUUGCCCCAUUUUCCCCUAAAAAACACUGUUUUUCUGAAUUAAAUAAUGGUUUCAUCUGAUUGCGGCUAACCAACCAAUUUUUUAUUGAUGUAGAAUUGACAGGUGCAUUCUAUGGAGCAUACCUCGAUCUGUGUCUUUGACUGGAAGUGCCCAUUUUGCCUCAUUUUCCCCUAAAAAUACUGUUUUUCUGGAUUAAAAAAUAGUUUCAACUGAUUGCGGCUAACCAACCAAUUUUUUCUUGAUGUAGAAUUUACAGGUGCAUUCUAUGGGACACACCUUGAUUUGUGUCAUUGAAUGAAAGUGCCCAUUUUGCUCAUUUUCCCCCAAAAUAAGUUAUUCUGAAUUAAAAAAUAGUUUCAACUGGUUGCGGCCAACCAACCAAUUUUUACCUGAUGUAGAAUUAACCGGCACAUACUUUGGGGUGCACUCCGAUAUGUCAUUGACUGGAAGUGCCCAUUUUGCCUCAUUUUCCCCUAAAAAUACUGUUUUUUUCUGAAUUAAAAAUUAGUAUCAACUGAUUGCGGCUUACCUACCAUUUUUUCUUGAUGAAGAAUUGACAUGUUCAUUUCUUGAGGCACACCUCUUCCCGUGUCCUUGACUGGAAGUGCUCAUUUUGCGCAAUUUUCCCCUAUAAACACUGUUUUUCUGGAUUAAAAAAUAGUUUUAACUAAUUGCGGCUAACCAACCAUUUUCAAUCUGUUUCAGAAUUUAUCGGAGCAUACUUUGGGACGUACCUCGAUCUGUGUCUUUGACUGGAAGUACCCAUUUUGUCCCAUUUCCCCCUAAAAAUACUAUUUUUAUGAAUUAAAGACAUGUUUCAACUGAUUGCAGCUAACCAAUCGAUUUUUGCUUGAUGUAGAAUUAACUGGCGCAUAUUUUGGGGCACACCUCGUUCUGUGUCUUUGGGUGGUGGUGCCUAUUUUGCUCCAUUUUCCUCUAAACUACGGGUUUUCUGGAUUUAAAAUAGUUUCAAUUGAUUGCAACUAACCAAUAUUUUUUCCUGAAAUAGAAUCGACCAAUGCAUAUUAUGGAAUACACCUCGCGCUAUGCGUUGGUCUGGAAUUGCCCGUUUCAUCCCAUUUUCCUCUAAAAUACUGUUUUCUGGGUUAAAAAGUUUGUUCCAACUAACUAAAACAGUGUUUUAGGGGAGAAUAGGACAACAUGACCACCUCCAAUCAAUGACACAAAGUUUGUCUGACAAUGCUCUGAUCAAUUCUACAUGAGGAAAAACUUGUUUUGUUAGCUUAAGCUGUUAGCUUAAAUUGCUUAGCUUAAAUAAGUUGAAAUUGUUUCUCAAACGAGAAAAACAGUGUUUUAUGGGGUAAAGGGGGAAAUGGGCACUUCUAGUCAUAAUGCAUCGAUUAAUUUCACAUUAGGAAAAAAUGCUUGGUUAACCGCAAUUAGUUGGAACUAAUUAGGGGAAAAUUGGUUAAACGGGCAAUUUCAGACUAACGCAUAGCGCGAGAUGUAUCCCAUAGUAUGCAUUGGUCGAUUCUACAUCAGGAAAAAAUCUUGAUUAGCUGCAAUCAAUUGAAACUAUUUUUAAAUCCAGAAAAUCCGUAGUUUAGAAGAAAAUGGAGCAAAAUGGGCACUACCACACAAAGACACAGAACAAGGUGCACCUUAAAGUAUGUGCCGGUUAAUUCUACAUCAAGUAAAAGUUGAUUGAUUAGCCGCAAUCAGUUGAUACAAUUGUAUAAUUCAGAAAAAUAGUAUUUUUAGGGGAAAAUAAGACAAAAUGGGUGCUUCCAGUCAACGACACAGAUCAAGAUGUGCCCCAAAGCAUGCGCCGGUUGAUUCUACAUCAGGUAAAACUUGGUUGGUUAGCCGCAAUCAGUUAAAACUAUUUUUUAAUCCAGAAAAACAGUAUUUAUAGGGGAAAAUUGUGCAAAAUGAGCACUUCCAGUCAAGGACACGGGAAGAGGUGUGCCUCAAGAAAUGCACCUGUCAAUUCUACUUCACGAAAAAAUGGUAGGUAAGCCGCAAUCAGUUGAUACUAAUUUUUAAUUAAGAAAAAAACAGUAUUUUUAGGGGAAAAUGAGGCAAAAUGGGCACUUCCAGUCAAUGACAUAUAUCGAGGUGCACCCCAAAGUAUGUGCCGAUUAAUUCUACAUCAGGUAAAAAUUGGUUGGUUGGCCGCAACCAGUUGAAACUAUUUUUUAAUUCAGAAUAACUGUAUUUUAGGGGAAAAUGAGGCAAAAUGGGCACUUUCAUUCAAUGACACAAAUCAAGGUGUGUCAAACAGAAUGCACCUGUCAAUUCUACAUCAAGAAAAAAUUGGUUGGUUAGCCGCAAUCAGUUGAAACCAUUAUUUAAUUCAGAAAAACAAUGUUUUUUAGGGGAAAAUGGGGCAAAAUGGACACUUACACUCAAUUCCGGUGAAUGAAACUAUCACCAAUCGAUUCCUUGGCAUUUUUCCAUUCGGAAAAGAUGGGCUUCAAAGAUCGCAAUCAGCCGCAAUAAUUAGGUGCCUUUUUGGGUCGGUUUUUUCCCACUGUGCAUUGGUGGAAUUUUGAUCUGGCCAAGCUCGUUCGAUUAGAUCGGCUCGCAAGGAUCUGUAGUACGAUCCUGCUGAAAAAAAAAACCUCUUUACAAAUGUUGCCAGUUUGAGUGAAGUGAAUCGACUGAAGAAAAGUUAAGGCUUGCUGUCCAUAAACCACGUGGUCAUUUUUUUGGGACUUUUCAACACCCCCCCCCCCCUUGGUCAUUAGUCCUUACAAAAAAAUUUAUUUGCCCAUACAAAAUGGUCAUCGGCCGGAACCCCCCCCCUCCGAAUGCAAUGAAAUUAUGAUCAUUUAUGACUUACAUAAUGAACUUUGAAAAACACUUUACCUAAUUAGAAAUUAUUAAUAAGAAAAAAAGUUAUGGCGAUUUCAUUUAUUCUAUGUUUUUUAGUAAAUUUAUAUAUUUUUCAUAUGCAUCCCAUUACUUUUUCAAUUUAAUGCCGGCUAGUGAAUUACUUUCCUUUAAAACAUAAAUAUAUUCAAGUCAAUUAGAGGGAAUAAUAAUUAACUAUAAUUACUAUCUCGAAUUUUGAAACGAUGAUGAAGUUUUGAAAAAAUUGGUGUUAUAUUAGAAAAAUAACCCAAUCGUAAUAAUUUUCUUUCGUGUAAAGAAUUUUAAGUUUUGUCAAAAGUUUUCAAUAGCUCAUUAUAUGUCAUAAAUGAUCAAAAUUUCAUUGCAUUCAGUUCAUUGAAUCCGGAGAUAUAACAGCUCAAAGUUGGCUAUCGGAUAAUUAAACCUUUUUCUAGAACCUUUAUAACUUCGUAUAGAAUGGCUCGAUCUUUUCCAAAUUUUGUCCACUGAUACACAACUAGUUGAUGAGCUAACAGUAAAAAUUUGAGAAUAUUUGAUGCCCUUUUCGAAAAGUUACAGCGAGUUGAACAUUUUUCAAAAAGUGCAAAUUUUACCUGUCCCAGUUAUUUUGAGUAUCCCCUGUAGAUAUUAGGGGAGACUGGGUAGACUUGAUCCCUUUUUCUUAAUUUGCCUGUAACUUGAGGAAAAAUAGAAAACUAGAUCCGUUUUUCAUACAGAAUGGCAGGUAAAUAUCUAUUGCAAGUUUAUACGCAACAGAAGGGCUUUAAAUUACCUAAUAACUAAUUCACAAAUGUCGUGCACCACAUCCCAAAUCUGUCAGAGUCAGUGAAGAGAAUUGUCAGACAAAAGAGGCACAAAACAAGCAACAAAGAAGGUGCGACGAUUACUCUUUAUCCCUACUGGUAACAGAUAAUGACAUAAUCUCGAAAUUUUUUGUUGCAGACAAAACGUAAGCUGAAUUUGUUGCGUACUUUUCAACUCGUGAAUAAUCAAUUAUUGCUAACCCAAAGUCGAAACUGUUUGAUGAUAGAGCUUCACCAGAGUUGCAGUGUUUACCGACUCGAAGUUACCGUUCGAAAAUCGCAAUGCAAGGCUUAAAAAUCUCUAAACUCGUGGUGUACGAUGUUAAUCCCAUUAUUUUCAAGUUGGGACAAACUUAUGUCGCAUGGGUUUGUUUGUCGCAACAACUACAGGUUGCGACAUUGUCAUUAUUGUUGCGCGAUGGUUGAAUUUUGAUUCACUGGUCAGAGUGCCCAAAAGUAAGUGUCAAUUUCCCAAACAUGUCAAAUUCAUGUGGACUACAGCUCAUCUAUUCGUGGUUGACGUCAGGGAUGGGAACACUCACUUUCAAAGAAUUACACUCACUUGCUAUUUUCUCAGCUCAGAAGCGUGCAAUCAAGAAACGAUGUAUGGACGACUUCUGCCUUGUGGUUUUAUUUAAAAUUUUGUCGAAUAGAGUAGAUGUCGCACACGAGUCCCAAAGGCGUGACAGAGCUGUGAAAGCGACUCUCCACGAGGUGAGUGUAAUUUACAUUCAACUCGUGGAGAGUUGCCUUUGCAGCUCCCUCACGACUUCGGUAUGUGUGUGCGACCCCUACUCUAUUCGGCAAAGUUUUAGACAAAACCACAAGGCAGAAGUCGUCUAAACAUCGUUUCUUGAUUACACGCUUCUGAGCCGAGUAAAUAGCAAGUGAGUGUAACUCUUUGCAAGUGAGUGUUCCCAUCCUUGGUUGACGUCCGUGCUGCCCCGCUGGGAAAACCGAACCUCUUAAUUGUUGUUUUAUUCGUGUUCACUUCUAACAAAUACUAAAAUAAGAAAAAAGCAAACAGCGCUCCAAUGUUUUGAUUAGGGUAAGAUGAAAAUAUGAGCUUAUUAAUGGGCUCAAUACCCUAGUUUGCGGUAGGGUAAAAUCUAUGCUUUUUCAUUGCAUUUUGUAAGGAUUUAAAACCUCUUACCUCUUCAAAUACGUUGGAAGAUGGUCCACCUUUUUAUUUUCAUUAAGUGUAGAAAUAAUCAAAUCCUUUCUGGGUCAAAAUAGGAUAAACCCUAUCUACUCCUAGAGAUUUUGAAGAAGCUAAUCUAUUUAAGUGCCCAUUCGUUAGAAUCGAUAGUUUUAUAAGAAUGAUUUUUUAUAAUGUGUAAGCAGAUACAGCAGAGACCGAUAAAUAUAAUGAAAAUACAUCAACAGGUUCAUCCGAAGAUGUAGGGGAGACUGAGGAGACUUGAUCCCUGGGGAGACUUGUUCCCCCCAUAUUUUCUUGGAAUCAAAAACAGUUUUCUUCUAGCAUAUUUUUUCCAAAACAACAUCUGGACAGACGACAAUGUUUUGGCUACAAUUGAUUUUAUUUGUGUAUUGCAUUAUUUUUUAUUGGCUGAUGGUUUGUUUUCAGUCCUUCAGAAAUCUUUUAGGCGAUUCCGAAAAAUCUCAAUAACUUUGUGAAAAUUGAACCAAAUCGUGUCAAAAUUUCACAGCACAUAGUAUAAAUAAAAUACUAUCAAACCUAUUUAUCUAAAUAAGGCUAUUAUAUAAAUAUUUUAAUUAUUGUAGCUUAGUGUAUACAACAGUGACAUGGGGAGACUUGAUCCCUCGAGGAUUACACACACAUUGUACAUGUGAAAAAUAAAAUUCUAUUUGGAAGCCUCUAUUCGCUCGGAAUUCUAGUAUAUUCAAUGAUAAAACGUGUCAGAUAAUAUUAUUUUAUUACACACCAUUAAAAGGGGAAUCAAGCCUCCCCAUUUUCAAAAUACGGCAUAUCCUUAACAAUUUAAGGAAAUCUUAUAGUUUCAAAUACACCGUAUUCAUCAAAAAUACAAGAAAACUUGAAAAGAAAAUUAAUAGGAAGCUUCUGGAGUUAUUUUCCCUUUGAAUUAACCAUGUGUUCAAAAGGGGAUCAAUUGUGACCCAUUUUUGAAAAAUACAUCAUAAGACAUGCCUCCAUAAAAACACAGUUGUGAAAACUUUAAUAAUACCGUCGUUGGGGGUGAGAAUGGGUCAAAAAAGGAUACUCAAAGAUUCUUUGUUCAAUAACAAAUGCAAUAGAACAGAUCGGUGAAGUACUAGAUUUGUAGUAAUGAGCUGAAUUUUUGUAUGGUGAGAAGGUCAUUUCUCCGUUUCUGCAAUGAAAUGAUGCAAAAAGCGUGGGUAUUAUGAUUCCUUGCCUAAUUUGAUGCUGUAUGAGCAAAACUUUGGACAACAGUGUUGUUGUUUUCUUCAUUUCUUGCAACAGAAACAACAUAGUUAUCCAAAGUUUUGCUCAAACAGCAUCAAAUUAGGCAAGGAAUCAUAAUACCCACGAUUUUCGCACCAUUUCAUUGCAGAAAUGGAGAAUUGACCUUCUCACCAUACUAAAAUUCAGCUCAUUACUACAAAUCUAGUACUACACCGAACGUGCCCCAUUGAAGUCGGAAUAACUUUUUAUUUGGUAUGUAUACUCUCCUAUGUAGUAACGAUAGUUUAGCAAGAAAGUAUUACAUUAUAUGAAUUGCUUACUAAACCGCUAAUGUUUGAAAUCUCACUCCUUAGAGGGGGGCACAGUGGGAUCAUUCUGAAAAAAGACGAUCAAAACCUCUAAGAGCCGUUAGAUGACAUUUUGCAUAUAGGUGUCUUUGGAAGAUAUGUUCAGAAAAAUCUUCUCUAUUUUUAUGCAUAUUCACUGUAUGGUAAAACUGUAGGGUGAACCCGAGCAAAAAAAUAUUUUUUCAAAAUAUUUUUUUAGAGGGUAGAUGUCUUCAGCAAAGUUGUAGAACAAGUGAUUUCAAAUAACUUUGCUGAAGACACCAUAUAGCUUGGACUUCAUUUUUAGGGAUAAAAUAUGAAAGUUUAAAAAACAACCUCAAAAUCAGUUUUUUGAACUUUUCCAUGAUUAUAUCAUAAAAUUUCAACGUGAUAUGUUCUACAAGUUUGUAGGUACUACUGGAAUACACUAUCUUGCCGAAGACAUCAACUCUGUCAAAUUGAAAAUUGCUACAGUAAACCAUUUUUUUGAAAAUUUUUCACUAUUUUCACUAUUGAAUAUUUUUUGAAUAGGCACUUUUUGGCAGCCGUGCUAUCAAAAUUUCAAUCGGGUCUGAUAAGGCACUUUGAUUUCUGAUGCUAUUUUAAUAGUCAUGUUUCAAGGAAAAUAUUCACAAACUUCAUACAAAUCAUUUAAUACAAACUGAAAACUCAAGUAAAUUUUCCGACACUAAUAUUUGUUAAUCAAAAUAGUAUUCUUGUUGAAGUAGUCUACAUUUCUAACACUGUGGUUGACUUUACAUUGAAUACCCGACAAAAAUAUCGCUUUUUAAAUUUUUAGAUGAUUUAAAAACUCACUAUUGAAUAUUUUUUGAGUAGGCACUUUUUGGCAGCCGUGCUGUCAAAAUUUAUAUGGUUCAUUAUGUCCAGAAUAUACCAAAAUUGACUUAACAAUCGGGUCUGAUAAGGCACUUUGAUAUCUGAAGCUCUUUUAAUAGUAAUUUUCAAAGAAAAUAUUCACAAGUCUCAUACAAUUUUUCGAUAUUAUUUUUAGCUCAUCCAAGUAGUAAUUCUGAAUAAAAAAGCAAGUUAAAUAAAUGUAGACUAUUUCAAUUGUUAGUGUCAUUUAUUUUGAACUACAAAUUUUGAAAGAGGGAAAAGCCUCUUUGAAUGAUUUCCUCAUCUACGAAAUCUUUCUCAAAAAGGUACAAAACCUUAUUAUCUUUUCCAAAAAUCGUUAUCAUAUAAACUUAAAACUAAAGGCUCCUCCGGAAAAGUAUCCAUAAUCGAGCCGUGAUCUUGAUGCGGAUUUGUCAAGGGAUGAAUCAAGGUGAUAUGUCUACGACGAAGAAAUUUUGAAAAUCAUGGACAGGAAUCAACCUAACGGACGCAGUUCUUGAAAACUGGAGAAAAUAAAUUUUAAAGAGUAUCAAACAGCAUAACCAAUUUCAAUAAAAUAUCUGUGAAGAAUUUUCAUCAUGCAGGGUUGUUACAACAGCGCGGAUUUCGCGAAUUCCGCGGAUUUCGCGAUUUUCGCGGAUUUGGCGCGGAUUUACCCAUGGAAUUUGGCCCUCGCGCGGGUUUGGCGCGGAAAUGAUUUUUGUAGUGUGUACAGCGAAAUAUUUGAAUGAUUAUCGGCACUUGAAUUAGAAAUUAUGAAAAAUAAAUAUUUGUUUAACCCUCCUAAGAUGUUAGAAUUUUUGCACCACGAUAGCGUAGUGUACGUUCAGCGUGCCUGACUGGGUCAUGUUGACCUUAACCGUUAUGUGGCUGGCAAACUUUUUGUUUUUUUUUUCUACACCGUGUAUUUUAAAUGGGUGCUGGGUACCCGGGUGCCCUGCCGGCCACAUAAGGGUUAACAUCCUACUAGUGAAGAAUUUGGAGCAAGUUUUCGUUUUGGUUUACGGCAAUCGUUUACGAAUUUCAUCAGCUCUUCAAAAUAUUUCUUUGAAGAAAUUGUGCAACGAUUCUUCCAAUUCCAUUGCGGGUAUGAUGUGCAUCUUUAUUUAACUUUCGAGUUCUCUUUUCUCAAAAAAAAAAAAUCAAAUUUGUUUCUAGCAAUUCCUUCGAAUUUCGACUGUUGGUUAUGUUGGGAGGCAUGGCGUUCAGUCACCUGUCACCCAGUCAGUGGAGGAAUAACUCAAAAAUGGAUUCUUAAGCUUUCAUCCGACGUUUCGGUCGCAAUAUUGCGCCUUUUCUGGGAAUUAACUAUGCUCCGUUUUAUCGUAAGUAUGAUCCCACUGCAUAGUCCACAUUCGUCCCAGACGUAACGUAUCGUCCGCCACCGGCGGCGGUGUUCCUUAGAAUGUAAUAUCCGAAAGAUAUUCGUUUAUCGGAAGCCAAAAGGGUAAUAGUAAUCUGCCCGAGUUACUGGUACAAUUUUGAAAGGCACCAGCUAUAUAUUUUGAAGAGUUUCCAAGAUAAAUCCCUAGAUUAUUUCGGGAAAAAAACUUUUGAAGGGUAUCCUAGAGGAAACUGCUAGUAAAAACUUUGACGAAAAACUCUGGGGGAUCUCUGUCGGCAUUCCUGGAUAUAUUACUGCAGGAAUUCUUGGAGAAACUCCUAAAAAAUCCAGGAAAACCCUGUAGGAAUUUCAAAGGACUCCAGCAAGUAAAUCUUGAAAAUUGUCAACUUGUGCUUCUAGGAUUUUUCCAGUGAUUAUCCAUUUUAAGGGACGUUUUCCUCUGGGCAGAGGCACAACCUUGUGAUCAGCUUGAUUGCUGUCAGGUCUCGGUGCUUAAAUGUAUCUUUACUCUACAGAGAAAGAUGCAUUGCACAUUCGUGGUGCCAAAAAGAACCGAUACUUUUCGUGAUAAAACGAAGAAGCGUCACGGCUCUUUUUUGUUGUUUUUGAUAUAUUUGAUUUCUAUUUCCAUAAGGAAGGAGGUUGUUAUACAAUUUAUCCUUCUAUUUUUUUAAAUUAUUAUUAUUCAAGCUUCCAAUAUUGAAGACACAAGAUCAAGAAUCACAAGCUGUUUAUGCUAGUUUACUGAACAUGGUGCUUGAUCGUCAAAUUUGUUCAUUUUGUGUGAAAAUACGCAAAGGUAAAUAACGUUGACAAUUUAAUUAACAACACAUUCUUUUACAGCUCAAUUCGCAAAAUCAAUCUCCCACCUUUCCUCAUCCUUAAGGCCACGCAAAAUUUUAAAGCCACAUGGCUAAAGAGGUUGCAAUACCUACUCCAAAAUUUCACGCUGUAUUAUGGACGAUGUGAGUUCUUGGACUUGCAUUGGAGACUUGGCCCUAUGAUCCCCUUGUGCAUCAAUAAAAUAAAAUAAGAUUUUUCAUUUUAAGGGACGUUUUCUCAGGUUCUGCCAAGUAUUCUCCUUGGAAAAUUCCUCACUGAAGAUUCAUUCAAGAACUACUAAGACAUUACUCAAAAAAUGUUCGAAGUGAUCUUAUGAGAAUUUUUUAUGAGUAUCCUUCUCAAAUUCAUACUGGUUUCAAAAAAUUCUUUAAAAAAAAUGUUCGGGUUACUGUCUCCAAAAAUAUUCAGUAAUACUUAAAGAAAGCCAAGAAAGCCAAGAAAGUUCCAUUCUGUUUAUUUCAAAGAUUUUUUUCACUUUCUUAUAAAAUUUCUUCAGUUUUUUUUAUAUUUUUCCCACGAAUACACUACCUAGUUCUUUGGAUGUUUCUCCUGAAAUUUUGACUAGAAAAUUCUUUUCAAAAAUCGCCCAAUGGAUCUUUAAGAAAUGUUUUUGGAAAAAAAAAUAACGAAAGUUUUGCCGAAACGUCUUCAAACUCACUUUCAGAAAGCAUGAGUUGCUUUGAUUUACGAAUCAAAAGUUUACUCUUCAUCCAGCAGUCCAUUCCAGUUUAAUGGAUUUCUUCAACAACGUGAAGAAAGAAAAAAAAUACCUUCACGCUCUCGCGGAUUUGGCGCGAAUUUAUUUCCAGUAUCGCGCGGAUUUGGCGCGGAUUCAAAUUAAGCUCGCGCGGAUUUGGCGCGGAUUUUUUUCCACCCUUCUCGUAACAACCCUGAUUCAUGGCGUAAGAUUUACAACCUAGAAUAUCCCUAACAGAUACUGGCUAUUUCAAUGAGAUGUAACAAUGUUUCACUCGUUUUAUUUUAUUUUUUUUAUUUUCAACACAAAACUUGUAGAGGCAUUCAUUAUAUUUUCGCCAUUUUAGUUUUUUAACCGAAGUUAUAAUGUUAACAUAGCAAAUGAAAAAAAAAUGUUUUCAUUGUUUUAGUUGAUUGAUUAAUGUAUGUAUUUUAACAAAAGCAAAUGCAUUGGGAAUUACAAUAAAAAAAAUUGACAAAAAACACAGGUUGUAAUUGGUAUUAAAAACUCUUCUAAAAAUUUAAAAAGCGAUAUUUUUGUCGUAUAUUCAAUGUAAAGUCAACCACAGUGUUAGAAAUGUAGACUAUUUCAACAAGAAUACUAUUUUGAUUAACAAAUAUUAAUGUCGAAAAGUUUUCGUGACUUUUCAGUUUGUAUUAAUUGAUUUGUAUGAAAUUUGUGAAUAUUUUCUUUGCAAAAUGACUAUUAAAAUAGCAUCAGAAAUCAAAGUGCCUUGUCAGACCCGAUUGAUAAGUCACUUUUGGUCUAUUCUGGACAUGAUAAAGCAUUGAAAUUUUGAUAGCACGGCUGCCAAAAAGUGCCUAUUCAAAAAAUAUUCAAUAGUGAAAAUAGUGAAAAAUUUUCAAAAAAAUUGGUUUACUGGAGUAAUUUUCAAUUUUACAGAGUUGGUGUCUUCGGCAAGAUAGUGUAUUCCAGUAGUACCUACAAACUUGUAGAACAUAUCACGUUGAAAUUUUACGAUAUAAUCAUGGAAAAGUUCAAAAAACUGUUUUUGAGGUUGUUUUUUAAACUUUCAUAUUUUAUCCCUAAAAAUGAAGUCCAAGCUAUAUGGUGUCUUCAGCAAAGUUAUUUGAAAUUACUUGUUCUACAACUUUGCUGAAGACAUCUACCCUCUAAAAAAUUAUUUUGAAAAAAUAUUUUUUUGCUCGGGUUCACCCUACAGUUUUACCAUACAGUGAAUAUGUAUAAAAAUAGAGAAGAUUUUUCUGAACAUAUCUUCCAAAGACACCUGUAUGCUAAAAUGUCAUCUAACGGCUCUUAGAGGUUUUGAUCGUCUUUUUUCAGAAUGAUCCCACUGUGGGGGGGAGAAUGGGUCAAAAUAUUCAAUUUUAAAAGAUGAUUAAUCCACCUAAAAUGGCUAAUAUAACCGAAAAAUGGUUGAAAUUUGAUUAAAUAACGUUUGUAUGCUGUAUCCUAUUUUUAGCUACCAUAAAGCCUGUAUCCGCAAUAAUCGGGACAGAGAAAUAUGGCUGUAACUCUGCAAUAGCUACAUAAGAAUUGCUCAAAUUUUGCCUGAUAAUAUCUUAAGAUGUGUUCAUUUCACCUGCAAAAUUUCAUGAGAAUCGGUGAAGUAUCUUUUGUUGUAGCAAUGAAACAGUAGAACGCGAGCAAUUGAAUUUUGUACAGCCCCUGGUUUAGCUUAUCAGUGCAAUAACUUUUGAAUUUGAUAAAGGAAAUGGCUGAAA